AUACGUAGGGGGCAAGCGUUAUCCGGAUUUACUGGGUGUAAAGGGAGCGUAGACGGAAGGCCAAGUCUGAUGUGAAAGCCCGCGGCUCAACUGCGGGACUGCAUUGGAAACUGGUCAUCUGGAGUGCAGGAGGGGUAAGCGGAAUUCCUAGUGUAGCGGUGAAAUGCGUAGAUAUUAAGAGGAACACCGGUGGCGAAGGCGGCUUACUGGACUGUAACUGACGUGGAGGCUCGAAAGCGUGGGGAGCAAACAGGAUUCAGUACCCUGGUAGUCCACGCUGUAAACGAUGAAUACUAGGUGUCGGGUUUCUAUAGAGAUUUGGUGCCGCAGCAAACGCAAUAAGUAUUCCACCUGGGGAGUACGUUCGCAAGAAUGAAACUCAAAGGAAUUGACGGGG
rnacentral:rRNA from 1 species